rnacentral:rRNA from 1 species
AGCGAACGCUGGCGGCAGGCUUAACACAUGCAAGUCGAGCGGGCACUUCGGUGUCAGCGGCAGACGGGUGAGUAACACGUGGGAACGUACCCUUCGGUUCGGAAUAACGCUGGGAAACUAGCGCUAAUACCGGAUACGCCCUUUUGGGGAAAGGUUUACUGCCGAAGGAUCGGCCCGCGUCUGAUUAGCUAGUUGGUGGGGUAAUGGCCUACAAAGGCGACGAUCAGUAGCUGGUUUGAGAGGAUGAUCAGCCACACUGGGACUGAGACACGGCCCAGACUCCUACGGGAAGCAGCAGUGGGGAAUAUUGGACAAUGGGCGCAAGCCUGAUCCAGCCAUGCCGCGUGAGUGAUGAAGGCCUUAGGGUUGUAAAGCUCUUUUGUCCGGGACGAUAAUGACGGUACCGGAAGAAUAAGCCCCGGCUAACUUCGUG